AAUGUUGGUCAAGGGGGGAAACGCUGACACAGCCUUCCCGCGUGUAUUAUGAAGGCCUUCGGGUUGUAAAGUACUUUUGUCAGAGAAGAAAAGGUACCUCCUAAUACGAGGUACUGCUGCCGGUAUCGGCAGUAUAAGCACUGGCUAACUACGUGCCUGUGGCCGUGGUAAUGCGUAGGUUGCAAGCGUUAAUCGGAAUUACUGGGCGUCAAGCGUAUGUAGGCGGUUCGGAAAGAAAGAUGUGGAAUCCCAGGGCUCAACCUUGGAACUGCAUUUUUAACAACCGAGCUAGAGUAUGUCAGAGGGGGGUAGAAUUCCACGUGUAGCAGUGAAAUGCGUAGAUAUGUGGAGGAAUACCGAUGGCGAAGGCAGCACCCUGGGAUAAUACUGACGCUCAGACACGAAAGCGUGGGGAGCAAACAG
rnacentral:rRNA from 1 species